AUGUAAUGCCUCUAGGGUUAAUGCACCAUAUCCCAUUAGAAAUCCACAGUUAAGCGCACUUGGGCUAGAGUAGUAUUGGGAUGGGUGACAUCUUGGGAAGUCGUAGUGUUUUACAUG
rnacentral:rRNA from 1 species